rnacentral:rRNA from 1 species
CUACGGGAUGCAGCAGUGAGGAAUUUUGCGCAAUGGGGGAAACCCUGACGCAGCAACGCCGCGUGAGUGAUGAAGGCCUUCGGGUCGUAAAACUCUGUCAAGUGGGAAGAACCUAUCUGGUGAUAAUACCGCCAGGUACUGACGGUACCACUGAAGGAAGCACCGGCUAACUCCGUGCCAGCAGCCGCGGUAAUACGGAGGGUGCAAGCGUUAUUCGGAAUUAUUGGGCGUAAAGGGCGCGUAGGCGGCCUGGUAAGUCAGAUGUGAAAGCCCGGGGCUCAACCCCGGAAGUGCAUUUGAUACUGUAAGGCUUGAGUAUGGGAGAGGGAAGUGGAAUUCCUGGUGUAGAGGUGAAAUUCGUAGAUAUCAGGAGGAACACCGGUGGCGAAGGCGACUUCCUGGACCAAUACUGACGCUGAGGCGCGAAGGCGUGGGUAGCAAACAGGAUUAGAUACCCUCGUAGUC